rnacentral:rRNA from 1 species
ACAAGAAAUAACAACACUGGAAAUUAUAUUUCUAGUGAUUGGAAUGAUGGGAAUCCAAACCCCUUUCAGAGUAACAAUUGGAGGGCAAGUCUGGUGCCAGCAGCCGCGGUAAUUCCAGCUCCAAUAGCGUAUAUUAAAGUUGUUGCAGUUAAAAAGCUCGUAGUUGGAUAUCUGCUGGGAGCAGCCAGUCCGCCCUUUAACGGGUGUGCACUUGGUGAAUUCUGGCAUCCUCCUGCUGAUUGGUGUCAUCAUCACUUCAUUAAAUUCUUAGUGUUUGGUGGCAGCUGUCAGGACGAAAGCAUCUGUUACUUUGAGAAAAUUAGAGUUGUUUCAAGCAGGCUUGUUGCCUUGAAUACUGCAGCAUGGAAUAACAAGAUAGGAUUUCGGUUCUAUUUUGUUGGUUUCUAGGACUGAAGUAAUGAUUAAUAGGGACAGUUGGGGGCAUUCGUAUUUAACUGUCAGAGGUGAAAUUCUUAGAUUUGUUAAAGACGAACUACUGCGAAAGCAUUUGCCAAAGAUGUUUUCAUUAAUCA